AGUGAACGCUGGCGGUAGGCCUAACACAUGCAAGUCGAACGGAAGCACAGUAAGAGCUUGCUCUUACGGGUGGCGAGUGGCGGACGGGUGAGGAAAACAUCGGAAUCUACUUUUUCGAGGGGGAUAACGUAGGGAAACUUACGCUAAUACAGCAUACGACCUACGGGUGGAAGCAGGGGAUCUUCGGACUUUGCGCGAUUGAAUGAGCCGGUGUCGGAUUAGUUAGUUGGCGGGGUAACGGCCCACCAAGGCGGCGAUCGGUAGCUGGUGUGAGAGGCUGAAGACCGCCAGUGAGAGUGAGCGGCGGUCCAGAGUCUGACGGGAGGCACCAGCGGCGACUGUUGGAAGCAGGGGGCAAGACUGCUCCAGCCACACCGGGUGGGUGAAGCAGGCCUUCGUGUGGUAUAACCCUUUUGUUGGGAAAGAAAACCAGCAGGUUAAGACCCCGCUGUUCUGACGGUACCCAAAGAAGAAGCACCGGCUAACUUCGUG
rnacentral:rRNA from 1 species